GAAUGAUUUUAUUUCCUUAUAGAACCCAUUACAAUUUUAUUUUAAGAAAAUUCAAAUCCCUAAAAAAUGACAAGUGGAAAAUAAAAUUUUUAAAAUUCUCACAAAAUGACAAGUGUCAAAAUGAUGAACAAGAUGACAUAUGGCAAAAAAAACCUUCAUUUAUUAAAGAUGAUACACAUAUGACUGAUAAUAGUAGGUAAAACCUAUUUUAGGGGGUUUGAAUUCCACAUUCGACGACAUUUUCGGCGGAUGCAAGCUCCGACGACAUAUUCAGUCAUCUUCUCUUACCACAUCUUCUCCGAACACAUCAGAUCUGGAAUACAUCAGAUCUGGAACACACUUGUAAGGGCUCUGGAAGUCAUCUUCUCCAUCACAUCUCCUUCUACAACAUCUCCUUCGUCUUCUCUUGCCAAAAUAGAUUUCUCAGCAAGACUCGACUUUCCGACGGUUAUCUUCUUUUUUCUUCAUCCUAUUUCUUUCUUCUGUUUUCCGGCCAUCUGGUGAACACAAAAUCUUCAAAAUUUUCUGGUAAUCAGAUGAACAUGAGAUUUGGAACUCAAGAUCUUAGAACUUAAAGAACUUGUUUUUAAGAAACUCUAGAACACGGUCUUGAAAUAGUAAACCCACUAAAAUCAUAUGUUCCUAAAAUCGUAAACACCAUCAAUGAUAAACCUUAGAACACGAUCAUGAAGUUCCUGAAAAUUGUGAGUUCAAGGGUUUACGAGUUUUGGAAAAUCAUUUUAAGAGCUGCUCAAAAACACCAUUUUUCAUAUUUGAAGUUCAAAGGUUUUUUUGAGUUAUGAAAUUGUUUCAAAUACUCAAGGGUUUCAGUUCGAUUUCUAGAUAUGUGAUUGUGUAUCUAAACCCUGAUUUAUGGGUUUGUUUCAAAGAAUAAAAAAAGAAAGAGAGAAACAAGAAAUCUGAAAAAUAUGUUAAGAACUCAUAUCUCCGGAAAAUUCAUUUUGUCCGAAGAAGAUGACAAGAAAAAUCAUACUUGGCCGAAAAAGACGUCGGAAACCGGAAAAGUCCUCUAUUACCGCUCAUAAUGGUAUGUUUUAAACUAAAAGACAAGUUUAAGGAUUAAUAAUGCACCAAAAAAAGUUAAGUGGCCGUGUUAGGAAAUCAGACGAUACUUGUCAAGACUAGAACAAAUCCAAUGCUACUUUUCAAGUUCUGGUGACCCUUGUUAGGAAGUAAUGCAGGUAACACCGCGACUAAUUAAUAGUCUAGCUAUUAUUACUAUUAUAUAAGCGUUAAAUAACACUCAAUAUAACUCAUAAUAAUAGCCCAAAUAAUUAUUUUAAGGUCCUAAUAAUGUUACUAUAAUUAAAUAAAAGCUAUAUUAAAUAUAGUAUAGGCGUAGAUCACUUACAACGGGUUUUUAUUAAAAACCGAGCUUCGCUGGAGCAGCGUUUACGAGCCGAAAGCUUUUCUUCUCGGAGCCGUCGAGUGCUCCGGGGCUUUCUUCUCGUGCUAGGGAGGUUCCCUAGACUUGCGAGGGGUUUAGGGAGGUUAGAGAGAAUUUAGAGAAAGAAAGAAAU
rnacentral:lncRNA from 1 species